rnacentral:lncRNA from 1 species
UUCCUUGCAAGUUUUCUGAUUUUAGGGUUUUCUUUUUUCCAGAAGUCAAGGAGGGGACUGCCACCUGCUAUUGGACAUAUUUCUGUGGUUCUGCUAAGAAGCUUUUCUUGUGAUGGUUGUUGGCUCAAUAGCUCUAGAGAAGAUAAAGGUGGAAAUUCAAGCACUGGAAUGCAAGAUAAAUAUCCUCCUGCCAGCUGGUGGAGGAGAGAAACCUCCAUUAUCUGCAAUGCAGUCCAUUCUGCUGGAACCAGCUGCUUCUUGCAAAUGGAUAAGGCAAAGAUUUAUUAUCAUCAGAACACAUGGAAAUUAGAAAAUGGACUAAUGGAAACCAUUAAUGUCCUCCUCUCAACAACCAGAUGAAUGCAGUAUAUUAAUGUAUUGGAAAUGAUUUAAGAUGCUAAAAACAUUAAGUCUCCAAUAUUUGAUGGGAAGAAAGCAAGCAAGACAAGGACAGCACUCUUACACUCUGCUGCACCUAUGGAAAAAACUCCACCACAAUUUAAGACAUAUUUUGUUUCCAGGAUUUUGAUAUCUUUAAAGAGAUAAUAUUGAAAAAACACUCUGUAUCCUUCCAUAAUAG